CCCCGUCCCCGGCGGGGAUGGGGAAAUUCUCCCCAUCCCCGCCCCCGUUCCCCGAAAAAAUUCCCCGAACCCGCCCCCGUCGGGGCGGGGAUCGAUUUUCCCUAUCGGGGGCGGGUUGAAUUGCCAUCCCUAAUUCCAGAGCCAAUUAAAAGAAACA